GCAAGGGUGGUCCAGUCGUCAGGCACCGCUCUGAUAAGGCGGGUUACGCAGGUUCAAUCCCUGUCCCUUGCACCA
rnacentral:tRNA from 1 species